rnacentral:tRNA from 1 species
GGGGGUAUAGCUCAGCGGUAGAGCACUGGCCUUUUAAGCCAUUGGUCCCAGGUUCAAAUCCUGGUGCCCCCACCA